AGCUGGGUCCUGCGUGCCAGCGGGUUAUGAACCCCGUCAGGCCCGGAAGGGAGCAGCGGUAGUAACCUGAGCUGGCGGCGCAGUCAACCUAGCUAUC
rnacentral:SRP_RNA from 1 species